rnacentral:rRNA from 1 species
UGACCUGCCCGGUGAAAUUUUUUUUAACGGCCGCGGUAUCUUGACCGUGCAAAGGUAGCAUAAUCAAUUGUUUUAUAAUUGAAGGACUGGAAUGAAUGGUUGGAAUGAAAUAUUAGCUGUCUUAUUUGUAUUUAUUAGAAUUUAGCUUUUAGAUGAAGAGAUUUAGAUGUAAUUGAUAGACAAGAAGACCCUGUUGAGCUUUAAAUAAUUUUAGAGAUGUAUUUUAUUAUAUUAAAUAAAUAGAUUUUAGAUUUUUUUUGGUUGGGGCGACUGAGGAAUAAUAAAAGCUUCCUUUAGCUUAGAUAGAUUGUUCGAUUUUGAUCCAAUAUUAUUGAUUAAAAAAAAUAGUUACCACAGGGAUAACAGCAUAAUCUUCUUUGAGAGUUCAUAUCGAAAAGAGGGGUUGUGACCUCGAUGUUGGACUAAAAUAUCCUAUAAAUGUAGCUGUUUAUGAUGGUUGG